UAAUCGUACCCCAAACCGACACAGGUGGUCAGGUAGAGAAUACUCAGGCGCUUGAGAGAACUCGGGUGAAGGAACUAGGCAAAAUGGUGCCGUAACUUCGGGAGAAGGCACGCUGGCGCUAGGUGAAGUGGUUUACCCAUGGAGCUGAAGCCAGUCGCAGAUACCAGCUGGCUGCAACUGUUUAUUAAAAACACAGCACUGUGCAAACACGAAAGUGGACGUAUACGGUGUGACGCCUGCCCGGUGCUGGAAGGUUAAUUGAUGGGGUUAUCCGUAAGGAGAAGCUCUUGAUCGAAGCCCCAGUAAACGGCGGCCGUAACUAUAACGGUCCUAAGGUAGCGAAAUUCCUUGUCGGGUAAGUUCCGACCUGCACGAAUGGCGUAAUGAUGGCCAGGCUGUCUCCACCCGAGACUCAGUGAAAUUGAACUCGCUGUGAAGAUGCAGUGUACCCGCGGCAAGACGGAAAGACCCCGUGAACCUUUACUAUAGCUUGACACUGAACAUUGAGCCUUGAUGUGUAGGAUAGGUGGGAGGCUUUGAAGUGUGGACGCCAGUCUGCAUGGAGCCAACCUUGAAAUACCACCCUUUAAUGUUUGAUGUUCUAACGUUGCCCCGUUAUCCGGGGUGCGGACAGUGUCUGGUGGGUAGUUUGACUGGGGCGGUCUCCUCCCAAAGAGUAACGGAGGAGCACGAAGGUUGGCUAAGCAUGGUCGGACAUCAUGCGGUUAGUGCAAAGGCAUAAGCCAGCUUGACUGCGAGAGUGACGGCUCGAGCAGGUACGAAAGUAGGUCUUAGUGAUCCGGUGGUUCUGAAUGGAAGGGCCAUCGCUCAACGGAUAAAAGGUACUCCGGGGAUAACAGGCUGAUACCGCCCAAGAGUUCAUAUCGACGGCGGUGUUUGGCACCUCGAUGUCGGCUCAUCACAUCCUGGGGCUGAAGUAGGUCCCAAGGGUACGGCUGUUCGCCGUUUAAAGUGGUACGCGAGCUGGGUUUAGAACGUCGUGAGACAGUUCGGUCCCUAUCUGCCGUGGGCGUUGGAAGAUUGAAAGGGGCUGCUCCUAGUACGAGAGGACCGGAGUGGACGCACCACUGGUGUUCGGGUUGUCAUGCCAAUGGCAUUGCCCGGUAGCUAAGUGCGGAAGAGAUAACCGCUGAAAGCAUCUAAGCGGGAAACUUGCCUUGAGAUGAGUCUUCCCUGACCCUUUAAGGGUCCUAAAGGAACGUUUAAGACUAAGACGUUGAUAGGUUGGGUGUGUAAGCAUAGCGAUAUGUUGAGCUAACCAAUACUAAUGAACCGUGAGGCUUAACCUGACAACACCGAAGGUGUUUUAG
rnacentral:rRNA from 1 species